rnacentral:rRNA from 1 species
GGCUCAGAACGAACGCUGGCGGCAUGCCUAACACAUGCAAGUCGAACGAGACCUUUCGGGUCUAAGUGGCGCACGGGGUGGCGUUAACCGCCGUGGGAAUUUUUGCCCCUUUGUUUCGGGAUAAACAGUUAGAAAAUGACUUGCUAAUUACCCGGAUGAUUGUUCGCCAAGGACCAAAAGAUUUUUCGGCAAAAGGGAUGAGCCCGCGUUAGGAUUAAGGUAGUUUGGUGGGGUAAAGGCCUACCAAGCCGACGAUUCCUUAGCUGGUCUGAGAGGAUUGAUUCAGCCACACUGGGACUUGAGACACGGCCCAGACUUCCUACGGGAGGCAGCAGUGGGGAAUAUUGGACAAUGGGCGAAAAGCCUGAUCCAGCAAUGCCGCGUGAGUGAUGAAGGCCUUAGGGUUGUAAAGCUCUUUUACCAGGGAUGAUAAUGACAGUACCUGGAGAAUAAGCUCCGGCUAACUCCGUGCCAGCAGCCGCGGUAAUACGGAGGGAGCUAGCGUUGUUCGGAAUUACUGGGCGUAAAAGCCGCCACCGUAGGCGGUACAUCAAAGUCAGGGGUGAAAAGCCCGGGAGCUCAACUCCGGAACUUGCCCUUGAAACUAGUGUACUAGAAUCUUGGAGAGGCGGGUGGAAUUCCCGAGUGUAGAGGUGAAAUUCGUAGAUAUUCGGAAGAACACCAGUGGCGAAGGCGGCCCGCUGGACAAGUAUUGACGCUGAGGUGCGAAAAGCGUGGGGAGCAAACAGGAUUAGAUACCCUGGUAGUCCACGCCGUAAACGAUGAUAACUAGCUGUCCGGGCACAUGGUGCUUGGGUGGCGCAGCUAACGCAUUAAGUUAUCCGCCUGGGGAGUACGGUCGCAAGAUUAAAACUCAAAGGAAUUGACGGGGGCCUGCACAAGCGGUGGAGCAUGUGGUUUAAUUCGAAGCAACGCGCAGAACCUUACCAGCGUUUGACAUCCUCAUCGCGAUUGCCAGAGAUGCUUACAGUCGCUGAUGAGCAGC